rnacentral:rRNA from 1 species
CUUGAAGCCCGUUGAAGACGACGACGUUGAUAGGCGAGGUGUGGAAGCGCAGUAAUGUGUGAAGCUAACUCGUACUAAUUGGCUGAUUGUCUUGACCAUA